GACGAACGCUGGCGGCGUGCUUAACACAUGCAAGUCGUACGGUAAGGCCCUUUCGGGGGUACACGAGUGGCGAACGGGUGAGUAACACGUGAGUAACCUGCCCACAACUUUGGGAUAACGCUAGGAAACUGGUGCUAAUACUGGAUAUGUGCUCCUGCUGCAUGGUGGGGGUUGGAAAGCUCCGGCGGUUGUGGAUGGACUCGCGGCCUAUCAGCUUGUUGGUGGGGUAGUGGCCUACCAAGGCGGCGACGGGUAGCCGGCCUGAGAGGGUGACCGGCCACAUUGGGACUGAGAUACGGCCCAGACUCCUACGGGAGGCAGCAGUGGGGAAUAUUGCACAAUGGGCGCAAGCCUGAUGCAGCAACGCCGCGUGCGGGAUAACGGCCUUCGGGUUGUAAACCGCGUUCAGCAGGGACGAAGCUUUUUGUGACGGUACCUGCAGAAGAAGCACCGGCUAACUACGUG
rnacentral:rRNA from 1 species